CUUCAACGAGCCCAGCCACAAAGGCUGUUCGGCCUCACGACCCUGCCCGUAGGUCGCGAGCAGCGCCUGCGCCUC
rnacentral:antisense_RNA from 1 species